UAUACUUUUUCUCAGGUAUAUACAUGGAUCCAAAAAUUAUAAUAUAUUCUUAGCUUUGGAUGUCUGUAGUUGAUACUCAUGAUCAGAAUUAACACUUAGUUAUUUUUACGGGCUAAAUAAUCUGAAAUCUAACAGUGUAGAGCAAAUCCAAUGAUCAGUGCUGUCUGGGGAAGAAAAGGGGCGUGCAUCAGUUCUACAGAAUGCUGAUAAGUACCAGAAGCAAUUAGAGAAGUUGGAAAGUUCAGCUAGCCAAGGUUUUCGCAGAGGACAAAGGCAUCCAACGCAAUUCAGUCACUGCAGUGCUUGGGCAGAAGAGGAGGAGCUGUCUGGGUGGUGUUGAUGUGGUCUUGGCGCUCAGAGAAAGUGAAUACGUCAUUUUGGAGUAUUACAUAGUUAUGAGUUCACUUUGCUUUACUCUCUUUCUUAGAUGUUAAAAUCUUCAUUUUUGGUCAGUGGGAUCUGAUCAUUCAGUUUUACUCUCACCCAGUGGCCCAGUCAGAAGUGCUUUUCUUACUAUUUUGCGGUGUACUAUUGUUUGCACUGAAUUAUUUCCACCAAAUUGUAUGUUCUUCAGCAUCCAUGUCAUGUCCUCAUUUCUUCAGACUGGACGUAGAUUUUAACUGCAGAACUGUGACAGUGCACCUAUAAGCCUGCCACCAGAUCUACGAAAUUUUGCAUUUCUUCCUCACAGUACUAAUUAACAAAAAUAAUUGUGGCUUUCAUGGGAUUCUUAAACAAUUUUUGUACAGCAAAGAUUUUUUUGUGAUUUCUGUUUCGCACUCCUGGUUUUCUAUUUCUCCAUGGUUACUUAUUACUAGGAAUCCUAAUUAGUCCCUUUCUUUUUUCCUUAGCGGCUCUGAGAUAAAUUCAUGACCACGUGUUUCAGAUGGGAGGUAUUUCUAAUAAAGAGAAAUACAUGUCAGAUAAUCUUUGAACUGUUGAUGCAUUGGAUGGUUUGCUGGACACGCUGAAAGCAACACACAUCAGUUUGAAUGACUUGACCUUAAUGCUUCUCCAGUACUUCUUUUGAUCUUUUUAAAGAACUGGAUGGAGCCAACAAUGAAAAUACUCAUGUAGUAGCAGUACCAACAAAUACUUCACCAGAUCAUAUUCCAUAAAUUUCUUUCUUGAAGAAUUAUAGACUGACCCAAAUUAAAUGAGGCAGUUAGCCAGUAUCUCCAGUGACCUUCCAUGAGAGAACUUAAAGAUACUUGAGUAGGUGUUAUAGGCUAGCCUCUUUGGUAGAAUUUCUUGAGAAGGCAUUGCUGUGUAAACAUGAAAGCUUACUUUGUCCACAGGUAACAAAAGUUUCCUGUUCUUUCAUGUAAUGUGCGCUGGUGUUCAAAUGUGUGUGAGUGUUCAGAUACAAGUUGAUAAUCUCUACGCGAUAUGCAUGACCGAAACUACACUCAGAGAAUUGGCUUCAGAUAUCUACAGAAAUCAGCUGCAGAUAUUCAGCGCUCAAGCUUCCCGCAGCAAUUGAUGCAGUUGCGGACACGUCUUAUUUAGCUUAGAUCAUCCGAUUGCAACAUUAUGAAUGUUUUUUUGUUACCAGUUUGCUCUACGCUGUACUACAUAAGAUACACUAUAGAAGAUAGUUCCUUUGGUGUGCUCUCUGUUUUAGCUGUAGUCAGCGUGCUGAGGACUAUCCUUUUUCUCAUCUGUCUUUGUACUAGGCAAACUGAACCUAAAAUUCAGAACAUCAUAUUUUUCCUUCAGCGCAAGAAAAAGAAUCCAGAGAUGAUUAUGCAGCUCGCUAGCACAUGUAAAUAAAAUUUGAUUUUAAUAACUCAAUGAAGAGAAGAAACCUACCAGUUGAUAGCAGAUCAA